UGCUCUCUUUGGCAGCAAUAUAUUAAAAUUGGAACUAUACAGAUAAAUUUAGCAUGGCCCCUGUGCAAGGAUUACAUGCAAAUUCGUGAAACAUUCCAUAUUUAA